GUUCAUUAGCUAAUCAAAAUGUAUUUCUGAGUAACUCGAGCGUAUUUUUCUUGAUUUGCUUCAGAAACUCCGCUCAGAAAUGAAGAAAACCUAAAGCCUUGUACAUGGUCCCACAAAGACUGUGUAUUCUAGCUUGUUUGGCAGUUCUGUUACUUGUCUUUCUAAUGCAAGAAACAUGACAGGCCAAUUGUCUGAAGUCAUUUUGAAAGGAAAAGGAGCUUCACUGCAUUUUUCCUGAAUAUUAUUCUCAUGUUGGUAUUUUUUUCAUCUGACUGAAAACACACACUUAGCCAUUGAUCUUUGACAGGUCUUUGUGAGCCUGUCAGUGCUGUUUUGAGGGAAUAGAAGUUUCAAGCUGAGAAAGAAAACAUAUACCGUCCAGUGUAUUGAUUCCUCACUGGUAUUUCUAUACUUUCUAAAGGGGAUCUCUGCAGAAUCCGACUGCAUGAUGACAAACAGUAAAACAGAAUUAUUGCUCGACUGGAGCAGAUUUUUUUUUAUCUUCAGUUUGAGGAAAGGUAAUUCAUAUU
rnacentral:lncRNA from 1 species